rnacentral:rRNA from 1 species
AAAUUGAAGAGUUUGAUCAUGGCUCAGAUUGAACGCUGGCGGCAGGCCUAACACAUGCAAGUCGAACGGUAACAGAAAUCAGCUUGCUGAUUUGCUGACGAGUGGCGGACGGGUGAGUAAUGUCUGGGAAACUGCCUGAUGGAGGGGGAUAACUACUGGAAACGGUAGCUAAUACCGCAUAACGUCGCAAGACCAAAGAGGGGGACCUUCGGGCCUCUUGCCAUCGGAUGUGCCCAGAUGGGAUUAGCUAGUAGGUGGGGUAACGGCUCACCUAGGCGACGAUCCCUAGCUGGUCUGAGAGGAUGACCAGCCACACUGGAACUGAGACACGGUCCAGACUCCUACGGGAGGCAGCAGUGGGGAAUAUUGCACAAUGGGCGCAAGCCUGAUGCAGCCAUGCCGCGUGUAUGAAGAAGGCCUUCGGGUUGUAAAGUACUUUCAGCGGGGAGGAAGGGAGUAAAGUUAAUACCUUUGCUCAUUGACGUUACCCGCAGAAGAAGCACCGGCUAACUCCGUGCCAGCAGCCGCGGUAAUACGGAGGGUGCAAGC